GUGCUCGCUUCAGCAGCACGUAUACUAAAAUUGGAAAGAUACGGAGAUUAGCAUGGCCCGUGCACAAGGAUGACACGCAAAUUCAUGAAGCGUUCCAAACUGGU